UGUACAUGAAGGGUACUGUUGUACUCCUGAGACAUUGCUGAAUACAAACGUGUAUUUUAUUGCAGUAAAAUCUAAAAGUAUUAUGACAUUCACAGUUAAAAUGUCAUGCAGAACUUGAAAAAUAACAUUUCUUAAUUUCUCACACUUUUUUUUAGAUAUUAUUCACAUUCAAUUAUGUUUCAUAUAUAAAUAUGUGAUAUGACACUCUAAGCACCAC